rnacentral:rRNA from 1 species
GUGUCAGCAGCCGCGGUAAUACGUAGGGUGCGAGCGUUAAUCGGAAUUACUGGGCGUAAAGCGUGCGCAGGCGGUUUUGUAAGACAGGUGUGAAAUCCCCGGGCUUAACCUGGGAACUGCAUUUGUGACUGCAAGGCUAGAGUGUGGCAGAGGGGGGUAGAAUUCCGCGUGUAGCAGUGAAAUGCGUAGAUAUGCGGAGGAAUACCGAUGGCGAAGGCAGCCCCCUGGGUCAACACUGACGCUCAUGCACGAAAGCGUGGGGAGCAAACAGGAUUAGAUACCCCGGUAGUCC